UACGAAGGGGGCUAGCGUUGUUCGGAAUCACUGGGCGUAAAGCGCACGUAGGCGGCUUUCUAAGUCAGGGGUGAAAUCCUGGAGCUCAACUCCAGAACUGCCUUCGAUACUGGCGAUCUUGAGUCCGGAAGAGGUGAGUGGAACUCCUAGUGUAGAGGUGGAAUUCGUAGAUAUUAGGAAGAACACCAGUGGCGAAGGCGGCUCACUGGUCCGGUACUGACGCUGAGGUGCGAAAGCGUGGGGGAGCAAACAGG
rnacentral:rRNA from 1 species